GAUGAACGCUGGCGGCGUGCCUAAUACAUGCAAGUCGAGCGAACGGUCCAUAAGCUUUCUUCUCUGCUGUUAGCGGCGUACGGGUGAGUCACACUUGGCUCUCCUACCUAUCAGACUGCGAUAACUUCGGCAAACCGCAGCUAUUACCGCAUACUCUUUUGAACCUCAUGUGUCAGAUGUGAAAUACGUUCUUGCUAUCACUUAUAGAUGGAUCGGCGCUGCAUUAGCUAGUUGGUAAGGUAACGGCUUACCAAGGCAACGAUGCAUAGCCGACCUGAGAGGGUGACAGGCCAAAAUGGAACUGAGACAGGGUCAAGACUCCUAGGGGAGGAAGAAGUAGGGAAUCUUCCGCAAUGGGCGAAAGCCUGACGGAGCAACGCGGGGUGAGUGAUGAAGGUCUUCGGAUCGUAAAACUCUGUUAUUAGGGAAGAACAUAUGUGUAAGUAAAUGUGCAUAUAUUGACGGUACCUAAUCAGAAAGCCACGGCUAACUACGUG
rnacentral:rRNA from 1 species